rnacentral:rRNA from 1 species
CAGUAACGGCGAGUGAAGCGGCAAAAGCUCAGAUUUGAAAUCUGGCGUCAUAUUGGCGUUCGAGUUGUAAUCUGUAGAGGAGUAUUCGAGUGUGGCGCUGGCUUAAGUUCCUUGGAACAGGACGUCAUAGAGGGUGAGAACCCCGUUAACGGCCUUUGUCUUAUGCUCAUGUGAAUCUCCUUCAACGAGUCGAGUUGUUUGGGAAUGCAGCUCUAAAUGGGUGGUAAAUUCCAUCUAAAGCUAAAUACUGGCAAGAGACCGAUAGCGCACAAGUAGAGUGAUCGAAAGAUGAAAAGAACUCUGAACAGAGAGUUAAAUAGUACGUGAAAUUGUUGAAAGGGAAGCACUUGCUACCAGACACGCCUGUAGUUGAUCAACCUUCAUUCUUGAUGGUGCACUCAGCUAUAGGUGGGUCAGCAUCAGUUACGGCGGUGGGAUAAAGACUUGGGGAAUGUGGCUUCUCUCGGGAAGUGUUAUAGCCCUUUGUGUAAUACCACCUGCUGUGACUGAGGACCGCGCUUCGGCGAGGAUGCUGGCAUAAUGGUCGUAAGUGACCCGUCUUGAAACACGGACCAAGGAGUCUAACAUCUAUGCGAGUGUUUGGGUGUCAAAACCCUUACGCGGAAUGAAAGUGAAUGUAGGUGGGAACCGCAAGGUGCACCAUCG